rnacentral:tRNA from 1 species
GCGACACUAGCUCAGUUGGUAGAGCGCAACCUUGCCAAGGUUGAGGUCAUGAGUUCGAACCUCGUGUGUCGCUCCA